UCGAUUACAAGGGUGCAUAUUCGCUAACCUAGCUCUCGAUUGACUGUAACUUAAGUCUACCAGCCCUAGAGACUUGCCUUUAUGUUCAGGACGAGACCCUAGGUUUACAAGAGUCUCGGUCACAUUAUGGUCUGUGACCCCUUAUGUCUCUAACUCGCCUUACUCCUUAAUUAAGGAAACUAUGGGCUUCCUUCUCCCUUGUGGGCCUAGAUUCUCCCUCUUCAUGUCUUGGGCUGCCACCGAUCUCUUUGGUAAGCCGCCUUGAGGCUUCUGCUCCAUAAGUCAGGGCCCAUCUUGAGUAUGAACGUUUAGCCGCCAUCAUCUUGACCCGGCCUCUCAGGGCAGGUCAUACGGGGCGAUAAUAUCCCCAACAUUAGGCCCCAGAUUGACCUGAAUAAUCCUUUACUUUUACUCCUGGCGGCUCAUAUGCAACCCAAGUUUUGUCUUCCAAUGCAGAAAGAUGUUGGCUCCAAAUAUUCUAUGAAGCUCCUGCUCUGUUUGUCAGUGACAUCAUCCGCCCCAAGAUUGUAGGGAUCUUAGUAGCGUCAUUCCAACGGAUCUUUUGGCUUAUCUAUUUAGCCUGAAAAUCAAGGUGCCAUUAGUUUCGAAAUUUAUUGCACCUCCUGGAUUCCCGUGCCCACUGUUUUCACUUCAGCUCUGUCAUAUAAAUACUUGUGAGGGCGUCUUUUCAUAUUUUUACCUUGCUCCGAUCUUAUUCUUCCUCCUUGAGCCCGAACCUUCAUCGCGCCGACAUCGUGCAACCUCCAUCAUCAGGCUAUCUGAUCCAGGAACCCUUCGCCGUGCAACUUCUCCUUGAAAUCACGGGCCUUCUUCGCAACCAUCCACACCGUUAGGUAAGCUCUUUUUCUUAUCCCAGAUCUGUCUAGGUAGUCUAUUAUAGCUCGGUAGAUUUCAUGAGGGUUCAUCUGAUGUUCAUCACCAUUGUAGAUUGUCCUAGCUUUUCGAUGUAACUUCUUCCAGUGAUAGGUUGCAGUAGAGGUAGGAAUCCUAUUCCCCAUAUAACUUUUCCUGGAUGCUUCGCAAGACUUAUUCGAUAAUGAACUUUUGUUGCUCCAUAUUUUACUAUCAUCUAGGGCUAUUGUGUUUUUGAGCCACUGGUAGAUCCAUAUUUUUGUGCACUUUGGUAGAAAGUUGUUUGUCCCACACUUACUAGAAUUUGAAAUCAUGGUUCCUCCAUAAGCCGCCUUUACGUUCUUACCAGUUUCUUUGAUAGACUUGUAACUCACCAUCUUGCUAAGCCGCCUUUAUGUUAGGGUGACUUUAAUAUCGUAGAUUGCCUUAUUAUUUCUUUCUCGAGUCCUUUUCUUCUUCCCACAAGUCCGUUCAUUCAAAUGACCCACGAAACUUAUUUGUGCAGCUCUUUUCCUUCCUGAACCUAUCAUUAUGUCAAAGCCUUCCAAAUGCGACUGGCAGCCUUUGGAAAUCUUUGACGUCUCCAUUCAGCAAUGCAUGACCUUAGGAGUCUUGUCACCUCAGGAGGAAAUUGGAUGGAGAGCCGCCGCUGGAGAAGUACGUCCGCAACCCGUCGAAGUAGAGGUUUUGGUUUUCACCGAUCACCUUGAACGAGGCUUUACGCCCCGUGGAUCAAAGUUCUUUCGAGACGCCCUGCACUUCUAUAACCUCCUUCCUCAAGACUUGGGCCCCAACUAAAUCAACAAUUUAUGCCAAUUUCAAGUUUUUUGUGAAGCAUACUUGGAGAUAGAGCCCACUAUUCUCUUGUUUCGGGAAUUCUUCCACCUGAACCGCCAGACAGAAUAUGCUGAUGGACCUAGCUUACAACUUGGUGGAGUCACAAUUAAAAGCCGACGAGAAUGUGGCUUUCCUGCUGUUGCUCUGCACAGUCAUCCUAAAGGCUCGGGAAAAUCUUGGUUUUACUGCAAAAAUACUGCACCCGCCAACGAGAAUCCCCUACCAGGGUUUAGAGAAGAGCACCUUCCGAUGGGCUGUAAACUUCCCGGCUCACUGACUGCCGAAGAGCAGGCCACCCUUGCUUUUGUAUGGCCAAAGCUUAGGGCCUUAACUACCAAUGGUUUAACCGAGAUCGAUUUGAUCCGAUGCUGGGUGGAGUGGCGGAUUAUGCCCUUGAGCCGCCAGGGCGCCUUGAUAUGCAAAUAUGAUGAAGACUUGAACAAUGCACAACCUUUCACCAAUGUCAUGCUUGACUCUGAUAAAAUCAAUAACAUUGUGAAGAAGCUAUUUGGCGUGCUAAAAGAGAUAUGUUCCAAGACUGGAUUGAAGCCAUUCUGUAUCCAAAACCCGGCUCCUGAGAAAAACUCGCCCUUCUAGAAGCGGAAACCAGUGGAAUCGACUGUCAAGAAGGUCAAAGCGACCCCAAGGAAUAAAAGGAAGAACAAAUCAGCUAUUGACGUGUCCUCUGUUAUGGGCUAGUCACAGACUGCCGAAGACCAAUCAGAGGAGGAUCAAGCUAAGAGCCAAGACGAAGAUGUCGAGAAGGCUAUUUAUAUUCCAAAGCACCACACCCGUAGUUCCUCAAUCGAUCUUAUGGCGUGUUUUCCCGAAAAACAACCAGUCGUAAACGCCAAAAUGAGGUCUCACCACCUUCAUUGGGUUACUCGACUGCUUCAAAAUUGCCACCUCUUGUUCGUCUCCCAGGGGCUCAGGCCAAGAAAACAAGAACUGGCGGGUCAUCGCACAAUCCUGAAACGCGUGAAGAGGAGGAAAUUGAUAUUGCUAUCCGUGAAGCUCCGGUUGAGCCGGCUGACAUUAUUGACGAUCUUGCUGGUGUCCAAGUUGACCCAACAAAAGUUGAAAAUAGGGCCAUGGAGGCUAGUCAGAAAAUUGACCUUAACCUGCCAAGUCCUCCAGAGGCAACCAAAGAUGUUGUGUCCGAUGAAGAGAGAGUUGUCAUAACUGGGAUGGGUUACACACCACCCGUCUUCACCGUGCUGGCUAAACAUACUGCCAAGGGUGCGACAACUUAAGUGGAGAAAGGGAAAUCUAAACUUGAGCUUCCCAAUAUUGAGAAACUUGACUUUGAAGAAUUGCAUGAUGGAUAUGUGAGCCACCUCUCCAUGAGCCGGGAUAUGGAAGCCAGCCUGGUUAAUACGUUGAAGAAGAGAUAUAAGGAAUAUUUGAGCCAUGUCGACUCAACCUGAGUAGCAUGAAGAAAAUCCUAGCACGGCAACAAGAUGCCAGAGCUAAAGCUGGGGAAAAACUUUGGAUCUCGUUGGCAGAAUUGGAGAAAUUCAAGACUGAGCAAAGGUUAUACAAAGAGACGGCCAAAGAUGACAAAGCCGCCUUGCUGAAACAUGUUGAAGACGCCGAGGGUCAGCUGAACCUGGCUACUAAGGAGUUAACUGAUCUUAAACAACAUAUGUCCAAGAUGACCAAUGUUGUGUUUGCUUUAUGUUGCAGGCCCUCAAUCUGCCAAUCUUCAAGAUGACUGUGGGCUGAAACUGAAAGCUUUGUACACCUUGACAAAGCAACUUCACGCUGGCGGCUUGUUCACCAUCCAAGCUGUCAUGGGUGACAAAGAGACAGUGAAGUUCAUUAGUGACAUGUUGAAGCACCUCUCGACCAUGCCUGAGUAGAUAGAAGAAUUGAAGAGAUUAGCUGCUCGUAGCUGCUCUUAAAGGUUAAUUACUGCCCUGAGCUGAUCCUUGGCUUAUGCACUACAACUCAAGCAGGAGGAGAUAUCAGGCAGCUUUCCUAAAUACAAGAACGAUGGAUCAGAAUUCACUCAAGAAGACUACGCCAGUUGUGUGAAGGCGACUUGUCCAUCGGCGAGUCAACUUGCUAAAGGUCUUGAUUUAACCAAGUAUCACGCGACCUACAAUGAGAGAAACAAAGUGUGCCGCCUCCCACAUUUGCACCAGUGGACCUUACUCCUUAGCGUCGUAAGCACCUCUUUGCCCCUGAUGCUGAUCUGUGGUCCAUCUUGAUGGAAGAAGCUGAAUUCCAUGCUUUAAUCAAUUGCAACUGGGACACGGGCGACUUCCGGAUCCAAGACCACGAAGGCCCGACACAGGAUAACCCGGAUGCGGCUUAACCAAGAUGUCUCCCCAAGAUUAACCCAGAGGCUAUUGACGAGGAGAAACUAGCCACCGGGUUGAUAUAGCAAAGAAAACUUUGGCCUUCUUGGGCCAUGUAAUAUUUGUUAGGUGCCUUUAUGGAUGUUGAAGAUUUUGGCAUUACCUUUUAAUAUAAGCCUCCCUUCUAAGCUUUA